rnacentral:rRNA from 1 species
AGAUACCCCUGUAGUCCCAGCCGUAAACUAUGCUCGCUAGGUGUCAGGCAUGGCGCGACCGUGUCUGGUGCCGCAGGGAAGCCGUGAAGCGAGCCACCUGGGAAGUACGGCCGCAAGGCUGAACUUAAAGGAAUUGGCGGGGGAGCACCACAACGGGUGGAGCCUGCGGUUUAAUUGGACUCAACGCCGGGAAGCUCACCGGAUAAGACAGCGGAAUGAUUGCCGGGCUGAAGACUCUGCAUGACUAGCUG